rnacentral:piRNA from 1 species
UUUUAUGGCCAGCUUUCAGGGGAGAAAGGU